AUUGAACGCUGGCGGCAUGCUUUACACAUGCAAGUCGAACGGUAACAGGGUGCUUGCACCGCUGACGAGUGGCGAACGGGUGAGUAAUGCAUCGGAAUGUACCGUGUAAUGGGGGAUAGCUCGGCGAAAGCCGGAUUAAUACCGCAUACGCCCUGAGGGGGAAAGUGGGGGACCGAAAGGCCUCACGUUAUACGAGCAGCCGAUGUCUGAUUAGCUAGUUGGUGAGGUAAAGGCUCACCAAGGCGUCGAUCAGUAGCGGGUCUGAGAGGAUGAUCCGCCACACUGGGACUGAGACACGGCCCAGACUCCUACGGGAGGCAGCAGUGGGGAAUUUUGGACAAAGGGCGCAAGCCUGAUCCAGCCAUGCCGCGUGUCUGAAGAAGGCCUUCGGGUUGUAAAGGACUUUUGUCCGGGAGCAAAUCCUAGUGGUUAAUAACCGCUGGGUCUGAGAGUACCGGAAGAAUAAGCACCGGCUAACUACGUG
rnacentral:rRNA from 1 species